rnacentral:rRNA from 1 species
GCUCAGAUUGAACGCUGGCGGCAUGCUUUACACAUGCAAGUCGAACGGCAGCACGGGGGCAACCCUGGUGGCGAGUGGCGAACGGGUGAGUAAUAUAUCGGAACGUACCCAAGAGUGGGGGAUAACGUAGCGAAAGUUACGCUAAUACCGCAUACGAUCUACGGAUGAAAGUGGGGGACCGCAAGGCCUCACGCUCCUGGAGCGGCCGAUAUCUGGUUAGCUAGUAGGUAGGGUAAAGGCCUACCUAGGCGACGAUCAGUAGCUGGUCUGAGAGGACGACCAGCCACACUGGAACUGAGACACGGUCCAGACUCCUACGGGAGGCAGCAGUGGGGAAUUUUGGACAAUGGGGGCAACCCUGAUCCAGCAAUGCCGCGUGAGUGAAGAAGGCCUUCGGGUUGUAAAGCUCUUUUGUCAGGGAAGAAACGGGUCUGGAUAAUACCUGGGCUUAAUGACGGUACCGGAAGAAUAAGCACCGGCUAACUACGUGCCAGCAGCCGCGGUAAUACGUAGGGUGCAAGCGUUAAUCGGAAUUACUGGGCGUAAAGCGUGCGCAGGCGGUUUUAUAAGUCUGUCGUGAAAGCCCNCGGGCUCNACCU